CCCGUAAUCCGGGUUGCGGACAGUGUCUGGUGGGUAGUUUGACUGGGGCGGUCUCCUCCUAAAGAGUAACGGAGGAGCACGAAGGUUGGCUAAUCCUGGUCGGACAUCAGGAGGUUAGUGCAAUGGCAUAAGCCAGCUUGACUGCGAGCGUGACGGCGCGAGCAGGUGCGAAAGCAGGUCAUAGUGAUCCGGUGGUUCUGAAUGGAAGGGCCAUCGCUCAACGGAUAAAAGGUACUCCGGGGAUAACAGGCUGAUACCGCCCAAGAGUUCAUAUCGACGGCGGUGUUUGGCACCUCGAUGUCGGCUCAUCACAUCCUGGGGCUGAAGUAGGUCCCAAGGGUAUGGCUGUUCGCCAUUUAAAGUGGUACGCGAGCUGGGUUUAGAACGUCGUGAGACAGUUCGGUCCCUAUCUGCCGUGGGCGCUGGAGAACUGAGGGGGGCUGCUCCUAGUACGAGAGGACCGGAGUGGACGCAUCACUGGUGUUCGGGUUGUCAUGCCAAUGGCACUGCCCGGUAGCUAAAUGCGGAAGAGAUAAGUGCUGAAAGCAUCUAAGCACGAAACUU
rnacentral:rRNA from 1 species